GAUGAAGAACGUAGCGAAAUGCGGUACGUAAUGUGAAUUGCAGAAUUCAGUGAAUCAUCGAGUCUUUGAACGCACAUUGCGCCCCCUGGUAUUCCGGGGGGCAUGCCUGUCCGAGCGUCAUUGCUGCCCUCAAGCACGGCUUGUGUGUUGGGCCUCCGUCCUCCUCCCGGGGGACGGGCCCGAAAGGCAGCGGCGGCACCGCGUCCGGUCCUCGAGCGUAUGGGGCUUCGUCACCCGCUCUUGUAGGCCCGGCCGGCGCUUGCCGACACAUCAAUCUUUUUUCCAGGUUGACCUCGGAUCAGGUAGGGAUACCCGCUGAACUUAAGCAUAUCAAUAAGCGGAGGA
rnacentral:misc_RNA from 1 species